rnacentral:rRNA from 1 species
AUUGAACGCUGGCGGCAGGCCUAACACAUGCAAGUCGAACGGUAACAGGAAACAGCUUGCUGUUUCGCUGACGAGUGGCGGACGGGUGAGUAAUGUCUGGGAAACUGCCUGAUGGAGGGGGAUAACUACUGGAAACGGUAGCUAAUACCGCAUAACGUCGCAAGACCAAAGAGGGGGACCUUCGGGCCUCUUGCCAUCGGAUGUGCCCAGAUGGGAUUAGCUAGUAGGUGGGGUAACGGCUCACCUAGGCGACGAUCCCUAGCUGGUCUGAGAGGAUGACCAGCCACACUGGAACUGAGACACGGUCCAGACUCCUACGGGAGGCAGCAGUGGGGAAUAUUGCACAAUGGGCGCAAGCCUGAUGCAGCCAUGCCGCGUGUAUGAAGAAGGCCUUCGGGUUGUAAAGUACUUUCAGCGGGGAUGAAGGGAGUAAAGUUAAUACCUUUGCUCAUUGACGGUACCCGCAGAAGAAGCACCGGCUAACUCCGUG